rnacentral:rRNA from 1 species
GACGAACGCUGGCGGCGUGCUUAACACAUGCAAGUCGAACGGUGAAGCGCCUUCCUUUUUGGUGGGUGUGGAUGAGUGGCGAACGGGUGAGUAACACGUGAGUAACCUGCCCCCUUCUUCUGGAUAACCGCAUGAAAGUGUGGCUAAUACGGGAUAUUCUGGGUCUGUCGCAUGAUGGGUCUGGGAAAGAUAUUGUUUCGGUGGGGGAUGGGCUCGCGGCCUAUCAGCUUGUUGGUGGGGUGAUGGCCUACCAAGGCGGUGACGGGUAGCCGGCCUGAGAGGGUGGACGGUCACACUGGGACGGAGACACGGCCCAGACUCCUACGGGAGGCAGCAGUGGGGAAUAUGGCACAAUGGGCGCAAGCCUGAUGCAGCGACGCCGCGGGAGGGAUGGAGGCCUUCGGGUUGUGAACCUCUUUCGCCAGUGAAGCAGGCCUGCCUCGUUUGUGGGUGGGUUGACGGUAGCUGGAUAAGAAGCGCCGGCUAACUACGUG